UCUCAUAUAUUCUAAAUUGGCUUUUUUCUGUUUAAUGCAAUUUAAAAGUAAUUUAUAAUGUGUUUAUAAUUUAAAUUGAAAAAUUUACUGAUCACAAAAUAUUGAAUAUUCUAAACAGAUGCAGUCCGUCGCCUGAAACUGAUGACAUUCAGGAAGCUAUCACCUAUACAUAUAUUAGAGAAAUUGAUUGUCAAUAUGAUGCGCAAUCACGUACACUACCUUCCAAAAAAGGUCGUCCAUGUCUGUUAUUUGAUGAAAUAUUCAGUCAAUCGAGCAACGCCAAAUAAUAGCAGAAUUUCUGAUCAACAUCAGCAUGAUCCAAACGGACGCGAAAUCAGCGAUCCAAAAAACCGUACAUAGGCAUAAUUUUUCAUAAUUUUAUAAAAAUUCUGAGGUAAAUGGAUUUUUAAUCAGUUAUUAGAAUCUUUUGGCCCAUUGUGCAUCUUGGAGACAAGGCUUUAUAGGUUUGAAAGGGAAGUAAUGUUAUAUUUUUUUAUCAAAUUUUGGUGUUUUAGAAAAAAACGUUAAUUCAAAUGGCGUAAACGUAUGCUUUUGUGAUAAUGAGUUUCAUUUAAUGUGUAGGAUAUGGAUGUAGAAGUACUUGUAUUCAUUUAAGAGAGCAAAAUAAAGCAAAAUAAAUUGUU